UCAGGCCUAACACAUGCAAGUCGAGCGGGGUUUUCGAAAAAAAAAGCGGACGGGUGAGUAAUGCGUAGGAAGCUGCCCGAUAGAGGGGGAUACCAGUUGGAAACGACUGUUAAUACCGCAUAAUGUCUACGGACCAAAGUGUGGGACCUGCGGGCCACAUGCUAUCGGAUGCGCCUACGUGGGAUUAGCUAGUUGGUGAGGUGAUGGCUCACCAAGGCGACGAUCUCUAGCUGGUUUGAGAGGAUGAUCAGCCACACUUGUUGGAGGAAACGGUCCAGACUCCUGCGGGAGGCAGCAGUGGGGAAUAUUGGA
rnacentral:rRNA from 1 species